CCUUGAAAAAGGGAGUUCGAGAAGGGCUUCGAAGAAGCUUUCUUGAUGGAGGGGAGUGGCAGACGGGUGAGUAGCGCGUGGGAACAUACCCUUAUCUUCGGAACAACUCCGGGAAACUGGAGCUAAUACCGAAUGUGCCCUUCGGGGGAAAGAUUUAUCGGAUAAGGAUUGGCCCGCGUUGGAUUAGCUAGUUGGUGGGGUAAAGGCCUACCAAGGCGACGAUCCAUAGCUGGUCUGAGAGGAUGAUCAGCCACAUUGGGACUGAGACACGGCCCAAACUCCUACGGGAGGCAGCAGUGGGGAAUAUUGGACAAUGGGCGCAAGCCUGAUCCAGCUAUGCCGCGUGAGUGAUGAAGGCCUUAGGGUUGUACAGCUCUUUCACCGGAGAAGAUAAUGACGGUAUCCGGAGAAGAAGCCCCGGCUAACUUCGUGCCAGCCGCCGCUGUAAAAC
rnacentral:rRNA from 1 species